rnacentral:lncRNA from 1 species
CCAGAAAUUCCUGCCCUUCAGCUAGAAGAGUCCAUGUAGUUAAGGAUUAUGAGCACUUUUGUUUUUUUGUGUGUUGGUGUCAGAUUUAUUGUUGUUGGGGAAAAUGGGUCAUGGUUAAAAAAAAAAAGAAGAAGAAGCUGUCAUCAUGUUAUGAACUGAUUAGAGUUUGGGAGAAUGUAUUUUUAACAUUACUGACACACAUAUGGAGUACUAAAGUCUCACUCGCUCUCUCGAGACGGGUUGAGGUUUGGUUUCCCAACUGAGUGUAUUUGAAUAAUCUCCUAAAAUGUGUGUGUCUGUCUGUGUGUGUGUGUGUGUGUGUGUGUACAGGUGGACGCUGCAGGCAGACAGCACCAUAUGUUAUGCGGUGUGGUGGCGUUCGCGAACCCGGUCAAUGAGAUACUGACGGACUGCACGCUGACUCUCAGCGGAUGUGGCCUGUUUAGAGACGAGAUCACAGUCAAGGUGAACGAUAUCAAGCCAAAGACAACAGUGAGAGUCAAAUUCGGCUUCUAUCCCUACAAGACGGGAAAGAAGACGCUGUAUGUCGACUUCGACUGCUCCCUGUUCAGAGACAUCAAGAAAGAAUGCACCGUCGUAGUGGCAAAGAACUGAAACGCUGAGAUUAGUUUGGGAUAUUGGGACGGGGGUGGAUAAAUGCCACGUGCGUGGAUGUGAAAUAGAAGUUGAAUUAAAUGUGUCAUAUUAUUUUGGGGGGCCCAGAAAUAAACACUCAGAUAUAAAUUUCACAGAAUAAACAAUCAAGUGCAGCACUGACAUAUUGCACUAUCUUGUAUGCUAACAUAGAAACAAGGGGUCAGAACUCUUUAUGAAACAUGCAUUAUGUAAAGACUUCAAGCUGUUUGUGCAUAUAUUUAUAUAAGUAGUCUUUCGUACCUUCCUGUCUGUUACUACUUCUGCAUCUGCAGUUUUAACAAAUGUUACUUGAAUAUGAAGAAAUAGCUUUUUGUUGGGGACUAUUUUUAGCAGUGGAUUAUUACACAUUUGAGGACAAAGUAGGUGUGAUUGAAUCAAAAUAAACUGCAGUGUGUGUUGGUGCUAAUAAAGAGGCAUGUCACUCAGAAAAACAACAGUGUGGCUCAUUG